UACGGAGGGAGCUAGCGUUGUUCGGAAUUACUGGGCGUAAAGCGCGCGUAGGCGGUUUCUCAAGUCAGAGGUGAAAGCCCGGGGCUCAACCCCGGAACUGCCUUUGAAACUAGGAGACUGGAAUCUUGGAGAGGUCAGUGGAAUUCCGAGUGUAGAGGUGAAAUUCGUAGAUAUUCGGAAGAACACCAGUGGCGAAGGCGACUGACUGGACAAGUAUUGACGCUGAGGUGCGAAAGCGUGGGGAGCAAAC
rnacentral:rRNA from 1 species